CACCAAGUCUGCUGCACUCUUUUUUUGUUUGUUUCUUUCUCUAACAAACCAGACAGAAACCAGAGAUGCCUGAAUCUGCAGACGUUCCCACUCAGUGCCAAGUCCUCAAAGAGGAGGUGGACAAAUGUGUCCAAGCGAAGGGUGCAGAAGCAUGCAAGGAGCUGUUGGAAGCUUUUGAGGCCUGUGUGAAAAGCAGCUUGAGCGCUUCAUGAGAAAAAAAGCUUCAUGUCUAAGGUCCUCUUCCUUCAGGUCCUUCAGCAUCCCUGCAUUCCCCACUGCCAUUGCUAAGACCAGCCUGAGGUGACGGUGCUGCCUGUUUCCUGGUCUGGAUCCCAGAGGUCUCAAUAAUGUUCUGAAUUUAUAAUGUAUGCAAAUGCAGCAGCAGGAGCUCACAGGAUUUGA